ACUGCUAAUACCGCAUAAGCGCACAGCUUCGCAUGAAGCAGUGUGAAAAACUCCGGUGGUACAAGAUGGACCCGCGUCUGAUUAGCUGGUUGGUGAGGUAACGGCCCACCAAGGCGACGAUCAGUAGCCGGCCUGAGAGGGUGAACGGCCACAUUGGGACUGAGACACGGCCCAAACUCCUACGGGAGGCAGCAGUGGGGAAUAUUGCACAAUGGGGGAAACCCUGAUGCAGCAACGCCGCGUGAGUGAAGAAGUAUUUCGGUAUGUAAAGCUCUAUCAGCAGGAAAGAAAAUGACGGUACCUGACUAAGAAGCCCCGGCUAACUACGUGCCAGCAGCCGCGGUAAUACGUAGGGGGCAAGCGUUAUCCGGAUUUACUGGGUGUAAAGGGAGCGUAGACGGUUUUGCAAGUCUGAAGUGAAAGCCCGGGGCUUAACCCCGGGACUGCUUUGGAAACUGUAGGACUAGAGUGCAGGAGAGGUAAGUGGAAUUCCUAGUGUAGCGGUGAAAUGCGUAGAUAUUAGGAGGAACACCAGUGGCGAAGGCGGCUUACUGGACUGUAACUGACGUUGAGGCUCGAAAGCGUGGGGAGCAAACAGGAUUAGAUACCCUGGUAGUCCACGCCGUAAACGAUAAUUGCUAGGUGUUGGUGGGUAUGACCCAUCGGUG
rnacentral:rRNA from 1 species